rnacentral:lncRNA from 1 species
ACCGCCUGGACAUUUUGACGUAUCCUGUACCAGCUGUGGGCAACUCUAUUGUGCAAAUCUUCAUGGUUCUACUUCAUGCCCAUACUGUCGUUUCUCCGUUAACCGGGAACCUCCUACCGAAGCCAGAAACAUCAUUGAACCUCCACCCAAACGCCGUCGCAUCAUAAAUAACCGAGUUCCUAUUCGUGAUCAAGAGAAUCUCAUACUUGGUGGAAUCAACAUCCCAGCUC